rnacentral:rRNA from 1 species
AUGACGCCCAGCUUCCGCCGCCACCGCCGCCUCCGCCCCCGCCCGGCGUCGGCGCCGCCGCUGGAGGACGGCGACCUGCUCGACGAGAUCCUCCUCCGCCUCUCCCCGGAUCCGUCCUCCCUACCGCGCGCCUCCGCCGUCUGCACCCGCUGGCGCCGCCUCGUCUCCGACCCCGGCUUCGUCGGCCGCUUCCGCCUCCGCCACCGCCGCAGCCCUCCCAUCCUCGGCUGCUUCAUCAGGGACAAGCAAAGUCCGGUCGUCUCCUUCGUACCCACCAUGGAGGCCCCCAAUCGUGUCCCCGCCGAGCGCUUCUCCUUGCAGCUCGGCGGCCGCGGCCCCAUCACUUUCCUCGACUGCCGCCACAGCCUCCUGCUCAUGUUCCUCCCGUAUUGGAUCAAGGUCCUGGUGUGGGACCCCGUCACCGGAGACCAGCACCGCCUAGACAUUCCCCCGGGGUUCGACACGAAGCAGGGGAUCGGCGGGGCGGUGCUUCGCGCCGCCGGGGCCAUCCGCCACUUCCAGGUGGUCUUGUUGGGCAGAGACAAACAAGUGAUCACCGCCUGCGUCUACUCGUCCGAGGCGGGCGUAUGGGGCAAUCUCGUCUCGACUCCGCUUCCAAAUGAGGUGCCAGUUGACUUCGAUUUUAGGGGGGUGCCUGUGCUGAUUGGGGAUUCCCUUCACUAUCUGAUUACGGGUGUCUGUUCUAGAAUCCUUGAGUUUGAUUUGAAUAAGAGGAUCCUAACCGUGAUAGCAGGGCCUGUAGAUAUUCUUGAUGUGGGUAGUUGCCAAUCCACGGUUAUGCGGGCAGAGGAUGGUGGGCCUGGUAUUCUAUUCAAGUCUGACUGCAAUGUCCAGUUGUGGAGGAGGAAGAUUGAUUGUGAUGGCCAGGCUUCAUGGGUGCUGGGAAGAACUUUUGAGCUAGACACGCUACUUUCCCUGAAUUCAGAGGAGAAAGAGCCCACGGUGAUGCUAGGCUUGGCUGAGUACAAUAAUGCGGUGGUGGUGCAGACGGUUGCCGGCCACUUCAUGGUCCAGCUUGAGUCAUUGCAAUUCAAUAAGAUGUACGAAGCCAGCAGUUGGCAUUUCCAUCAACCAUUCGAAAGUGUCUAUACUGGAGAAACAAGCAUUGGUGGUGGAGGACACAAUGGAGCUGAACUUUUGCACAACACUUAA